GAACUUUCAAAAUCACUUUGACCCUUUCAGAUUAGAGAUUAGAUCUAAGGCCUUCCAGAAGGAAAUAAUACGUGUGAGUUUAUUACUUUUGUCACCAACUCAGUGUACACCCCGUGUGUGGACAUUUUUGUGAUUUCAAAUAGACCAUAGUUUUUUUUUUCCCUUUGUCCCUUCACUUCCAUUCCGAGCCUAUAAAUAUGCACCCUAGUCACCUGUUUCCUUCCGUUCAUAUCAAAAAUCAUUUCAAAGAGAGAGAAAAGGAAAGACACCAUGGCAGGAAUCAUGCACAAGAUUGAGGAGACCCUCCACAUUGGAGGCAAAAAAGAAGAGCAAAAGAGUGGGAAAUCUGGUGAGGAGCACAAGAGUGGGAAAUCUGGUGAGCACAAAGGUGAACACAAGGGGGAGUACCGUGGUGAGCACAAGGAAGGAUUUGUUGACAAGAUCCAUGGUGAUGGCCAUGGCGAAGGAGAGAAAAAGAAGAAGGAGAAGAAGGAGAAGAAGAAGAAGGAGAAGAAGCAUGGUCAUGAUGGCCAUAGCAGCAGUGACAGCGACAGUGAUUAAAAAUCUUCCACUUUUUCUAAAUAUGAGGUAUCUAUACAUAUUUCUUCUCUACCGCUGCUCAUUGUUUAUGCGGUAGGUGUUCGUUUACAUCAUAAAUUAUAUGGAGGAUCUGUGGCCUGCUAUGCUUCUUAAAUUAUUUCAAGGUCAAAACUUAAAGUUUUAAGAUAAAAUAAAAAUAAAAAUGGCGAACCCCUUGUUGUGUAUAGAUGCUAAAUCACCGGUAAUAAAUCAUUUGAGCAGUUUUUUUAAAUAAAUGUGGUUUUGUCUUUGCAGGCGGCGUGAUGGAGUCGAAGAUGUCGAGGUCCUGUCUACCAGUGUUACAGAUACAUUAUCACAAGAAGAACAAAAAGCCUGUCCAUUUCAAUAUUCUAUGGAGUAAAUCCAAAAUGAUAUUAAUAAUAAAUAAACAUAAUGUUCUGUGUCUGUGAUUUUUGUUGCUGAAUGUUCUUAAACAUCUUCGAAAAUAUGGAAUAUAUAUGCUAUAUGGAACAAAAUGUGAUGGAUUUGACCAUAUAAUUAAGAAAAAAGACAUGUUCUCUGCGUUGAAGCUAUGUCUCUAAUGGCUGCAAUUGAGCACGAACAGGCAAGAUAUCUUCUUUCUCAAUUUGUUCUGCCAAAUGACAUUGGAUUGCAUCCCUUUAUUCACCACAGAAGGUCUACAAGCAACAAUGGCAUGAAUGCUCACCAUAUUAUUCAUGCGAUCUGUCCUCCAAAAAGCAUUGAUUUAAUCAUUUUAAUUAAGAAAUUUCAGGCGUAAUAUAUAAGCAGUCCUGAGUUUUUCUUUCCUUUCAAGUUUCAACCAUUAAAAGGGGAAACAUGGAUGGCCCCAUUAUUAUCAUAUAAAACAGUAGACGAUUUGGCGUUUUUUCUUGUAGUAAAUUGUUAUUGUGCUUAACUAUGGACACACACUCAGUGCGCUGAGUGUGCUAUGGUCUCACUGUGUGCUCAAUGUUUUUUUUUUCUUUUUUCUUUUUCUUUUUAAUUUGAAAGACCAAAUUUAAGGCUAGCUUAAGUAAAUUACGAAGGAUGGAUAAAAUAGGUGGCAACUUCGGUUUUUGAGCAAGAUCAAUUCCUCUCUUUAUUUUUUUAUACUCAACCAGGCCUGAGUCAACUAGAUUGCGAGUUAUCCUAUUAAAUUAACUCAGGUUUUAUAAUAAUGAUAUAACUUAUUGCAUUUUUUUUUAUUUGAUUUAAUUUUUUUAAAAAAAUUUAUUUUAUCAAACUUUUAAAAAUUUAGACCUAUUUUUUACCCUUAUUUUUUCCUUAUUUUUUCUUUGUUGUUUUGUAUAUAAAAAAAACCCAUGCAUCUAAUUAGGGUAUAGUUAAAUGAAAAUCAAUUUCAAAAAUAAAAAGUUGUUAAUUCUAGUGGGGUGUGUGACCUAAAUAAUAGAUAUAACUGUUUUGUCCAGGGUUAAUAACUUAUAAAAAGCGUUUUAAUAAUCCAUUACAAAUUUUAUUUUAUUGAGAGGUAAAUUUGUAUAUAGAGAUACUCAUUAAUUUAUCAAUGUUAUAUUUAACAUAUCAAUAGAUACGCUCAUUAACAAAUAAAUCCAUCAUCUUCAAAAUAUUGCCAAUUGGCUCAGGAGUGUUUAAGAGUGUAACAAUAGUUAUUUUUUAAAGUUUUUUUUGCUAAAAAAUACAUUAAAAUACUAUUAAUAUUUUUUAAAAAAAUUAUUUUUAACAUUAGUACAUCAAAGCGAUUCAAAAAUACUAAAAAAAUAAUUUAAAAAUAUAUAUCUUGACAAAAAUACAGGUUGAAACGCAAUGUCCAACACCCCCGCUUUAGAUGAUUGCAAUUAUAUAAAUUAUAAUAUGAGAAUUAAUUGACUCAAUUGAUAUCUCAUGAGCUAAACUUAAGGAUUGGGAUUAAUACAAGGAAAAAAUGGGUUUAACCUAUUUUUAUAUACAUGCCAAACACAAGGAUAUGAAACUUGAUUUUUGAUUUGUUCAUAAACUAGGUUAUCCAUUUAAAAACAAAAUAUUGGUAUAAUUGUUUUUAUUUAUUUUGCAUAUAAAAAUUCAUCUAACAAUAGUUUAAACUAAAUACAUAUUUUUUUAAACUAUAAUUAAAAUUAUUAUUUUCUAAAUUUAAUUUUUUAAAACCCCAAUUAUAAAAGCUAUCACAUUACCAAAUACACACGAAUAACUUCCAAAUGAAUAAUUGUAUAUCCAAGUUCAAGCAGACAAAAUCAAAGUGGGCUUUUGAAGCCCAACACAAAAUACAACUAGGUUUUGUAAGCCCAUAGACUAUGGUUCGUAACCCUACAGGCUUGAGUGAAUUAGACUUUGGUCAUAACUGAACCCAAAAAAAUAGAAAAACUGUUGCACGGUCUCUCGAACCCGAGAGCUAUGGAUUACCUAACCAUAGCUAAAAAAGAAGAAAAAGACAGAUCUGGACAGCGAUCCUUCAUAUGUGCAACGAUCCAUUGGUGCUUGCUGCAUAAAUUAAGACUACCUAAACUCAUAAACAUAGCCGAAGGAGAUGCCCACAUUGACUUUGGAUCAGCCCAUAAGAGCAACAUGCACGAAAUUAAACUCAAAAGCAUGCAGUGGUGUAUAUUGUGAUGUAGCCAAGAGGCAUUGGCGCGGUGUCAUCUCAAAGAAAAAGAAAUUCCGAGCAAAUGUAGAAAUAUUAUUGGAAAAUCCUAGAGGUUAGGAGGAGCCGAUGCCUUUAUUAUAUAGAUAAUUGUUGGCCAUUUAACUGAAUAAGAAACAUAAUGCACAUGGUAGGCUUAAACUUUAGACUUUAGUGGUCGAGAAUGUGUAGAAAAGAGCGAAGGGGGAGUUGUCAAAUGUAGCCAUCGAUGGUUGGUGGUGAAAGGAGCUUUAUCGAAGUCCACCACCCGCAAAAUCUCUCCCUCUAGGCUGGGGUUGGUGGUGAAAGGGAGCUUUAUCAAAGUUCACCGCCUGCAAAAUCUCUCCCUCUAGGUUGGGGUUGGUGGCUGUUUCUGGUAGUCUUCACCUACUGAAGCUGUCUUCUGAGUCUUGUUUCUUAGUGCUGUGUUUCUUGCCAUACUGGGCACACCUAGUGCUGAUUGUGAUUAGAAGAUUUAAGACUUGUCAAAUAAUUAAAAAGAAAGGAUAUAGAAUAUUAUAAAUUAUAUUUUGAAAUUUUUU
rnacentral:lncRNA from 1 species